CGAGACUUCGGCGGCGCAGCAAUGGCCAGACCAUGCCGCGUCACUGCUCCGCCGCCGGCUGCUGCACACGGGACACGCGCGAGACGCGCAACCGCGGCAUCUCCUUCCACAGACUUCCCAAGAAGGACAACCCGAGGCGAGGCUUGUGGCUGGCCAACUGCCAGCGGCUGGACCCCAGCGGCCAGGGCCUGUGGGACCCGGCAUCCGAGUACAUCUACUUCUGCUCCAAACACUUUGAGGAGAACUGCUUUGAGCUGGUGGGAAUCAGGUGGGCCUCCCUGCCGGCCGACGCUGGGGUAGGAUGUGGGGCUCCCGGCGGACUGGGACAGCUGCAGGUCCUGGAAGUCCCUUGAGCAGCCUGCGUCCAAGGGGGCUGUUUCCUGUUCCCAGCUCUGCGCAGUGAAACCCACCCCCAGGAUCACUGUGCCUGUGACACAAGGGGAAAACAGGAGCCUUUCCAGAGAGUAUCUUUCAGAGCCCCAGUCUUGCCAGCAAGUCCACAAAUCAAAGAAUUCUUUCUGGCUGGUCAGCCCAGCUCGGCUUUCCGCACACCUGGACUUUGAGGAGUCCUGCAGGGAAGCGAUUGGUGUAGCUGUAACUUGGCGUUCCCCAGACGUAUUGUUUGCACGAUGCCUUCCAGCCUCCCAUGGCGCUGGUGCUGGGGGCAGAUUGGCCUGGGGAGGCAGCACUUGCUCUCCAGCUCAUCUGGGUUGCUUUUCCCCACAGCGGAUAUCACAGGCUAAAGGAGGGGGCAGUCCCCACCAUAUUUGAGUCUUUCUCCAAGUUGCGCCGGACAACCAAGACCAAAGGACACAGUUAUCCACCUGGCCCCCCUGAAGUCAGCCGGCUCAGACGAUGCAGGAAGCGCUGCUCCGAGGGCCGAGGGCCCACAACUCCAUUUUCUCCACCUCCACCUGCUGAUGUCACCUGCUUUCCUGUGGAAGAGGCCUCAGCACCUGCCACUUUGCCGGCCUCCCCAGCUGGGAGGCUGGAGCCUGGCCUUAGCAGCCCCUUUUCAGACCUACUGGGCCCCCUGGGUGCCCAGGCAGAUGAAGCAGGCUGCAGCGCCC
rnacentral:sRNA from 1 species